GCCCCGGUUCCUCCUUCUCCCUCUCCUGUUCCAAGCUGGAAGACAAAGCCAAGUCCAGCUCAUCAGAGACGGGAGUCUCUCUGCGUCUACACUGUAGAUUUCUCCUUCCCAAGGCUCCUCACCCCAUGCCGAGGAGUCAAAAUAACCCGGCUGACCCCGCCCCGGCAGGGCCAUUCCUACCUCUGGCAGUCGGCCACCAGCCCCACGUCUGCCAGAAAAUUUAUCUGAUCUUUGAACCUAGCACUCCCCUGGAGAUAAACCUGGGCGGCUGCUAAAGGCAUCAGCGCGGCCUUACAGUCGGAGAGCCGGGGCAUGCGGAGGCUUGCUCAGAAUCCUGGCUGUGGAAAAUGUGAACUUCCUGGGAGUGGAGGACACACAGACUCCCUCUUCCCGUUCUCUGGAAGGGCUGCAAGUUCUUCCCCACUUGGAGCCUUAGCGUUCAAUCCUCUCCUCUGGAAAUGGCUUCAGAGAAUACCCAACCUAAGAUUUUAUUUAUCUAUUUGAGAGAGAGUGAAUGAGAGAGAGAGCACGAGAGGGAAGAGGGUCAGAGGGAGAAGCAGACUCCCUGCCGAGCAGGGGGAGCCCGAUACGGGACUCGAUCCCGGGACUCCAGGAUCAUGACCUGAGCCGAAGGCAGUCACUCAACCAACUGAGCCACCCA